rnacentral:lncRNA from 1 species
GAGGAUACGACCAGGUGCGUGCUUACAGACGAGUUUAUGGACCAGCCAUCUAACAACUUGGUUUGCAGGUGGUUCACGACGUCGACCUUCAAAAACUCCCAGUCAGAUUUGCAAUGGACAGGGCAGGACUCGUUGGAGCAGACGGACCGACACAUUGCGGUGCAUUUGAUGUCACUUACAUGGCUUGCCUUCCAAACAUGGUGGUCAUGGCACCCGCUGACGAAGCCGAACUCAUGCAUAUGAUUGCUACAGCAGCGGCCAUCGACGACAGACCAUCGUGCUUCAGAUAUCCUCGCGGGAACGGUAUUGGAGCGUUACUUCCGGCUGGAAACAAAGGAACACCGGUUGAGGUAAGCCGCAUAUCCAAGUCGAGAGCAUCCAACUGACCCCUGAGGUUUACGCCAGAUUGGAAAAGGAAGGAUACUGGUUGAAGGAUCCCGCGUUGCUCUCCUGGGCUACGGAACCAUGGUACAAAACUGC